GUGAACAUUCAAAUGAGCGAAGUUGCUCUUAUUCCGGCUGAGGCUAUUCAACUUGUUAUGGUAGAUGCUGAAGCUGUUGAGGUGCUUGCUCCCCCUAACUUUGGCGGUUCCUUUAGGAGAAACUGUUGAUGUUAUAAUCAACGACUAGGAACCGGUUGUUGACGAGGUUCCAAGUUCUUUAAAGGGUGUUCACCCUUCUUUGAGUGUCGAGCCCCUUACUUCGGGCGCUGAUGUCCUUGUUUUUGACGAAGACGAAUCCCAAAACAGGAAGAGACGUCGACUAGCUUAGGGAAGCGGUCUUUGAGGAACCUCCUUCAGAAUAUUUGGAUGUUGUUUCGAAGCUAGCUGAUUAGGCCGAGCGACAGGAGAGACCGAGUCUAUUGAAUCCCAUUGUUCUAACGGAGUAUAUUAAAAGUCUAACUAUUCCUGAAGAUAUCGAUUGGUUUGACGAGAAGGCUGGUGCUAAUUUGUCAAACUUUGCUUGUCUUCAUGGCUUAUCGACUAUUCAGGAGAUCUUGGUUUUAAAUGACCAUCGCCAGUUUGCCGAGGGAGAAGUCCAACGGCUAGGUAAUUUAUUGGCUGAGGCGGAAUCUGGGAAGGCGAGGCUAAAAGGAUCCCUUGAAGAGUAUGACUCGCUGCUCCUGAAGCUGAAGGCUCAAAAUGCCAUUCAUGACCGCUAAGUGAUGCUCAUCGAGAAGAAGACUGCCGAUUUAAUGCAAGAAAUCGAAGCCCUUAUCUCGACAAACACUCACGUUGGUGGUGAAAGAGAUAAGUUGAAGACUGAAGUGGAAAAACUUCAUGUUCGCUGAUAGGAGUAUUUUACUCCUAUUUAGAGUGUCGUUUCCGCAUGCUUUUAUUAUGUUUUGUCAUGUUUUUAUGGUAUUCCGAAUGCCUUAUUGCAUGUUUUAGUAUUUCAGAUACUUGGGAGCAUUGCGGAAGCAUUUUGGUGCAAAAGAUGGAAAAGUCGACGAAAGAGAGGCGAAAGCUCAUUUGCAAUUCUGAAAAGCUGACCCCUCUGCACUAUUUGACCAAUUUGGAUCGGUUAAAGGUCUCUAAUGAGUUUGUGUUCUUCAUAAGAGUUAAAGUAGACAUCCUAAGCUUUCCAACGGUUUAAGAACCAACUCAUGUGGACAUUUCUACACCGAGUUAUGAAGUUUUGAAGUUCAAGGUUAUGGAGUCUGAGGGUUGCACGAAUCGUGCAACACCUUGCACGAAUCAUGCAUAAGUAGAGCAGAAGCAGAUUGUUCCCAGAGAUAUUGCACGAUCCGUGCACCCAUGUUAAGUUGGUUUGCACGAUUCGUGCAAAGGCUUAAAGUUAGAAUCGAAAAUCUGAAGAAAAGGACAAGGCUUAUGCACACUUUCUCUUUUGGCCCAA